rnacentral:rRNA from 1 species
UACGGGGGGGUGCGAGCGUUUGUCCGGAAUCACUGGGCGUAAAGGGCGCGUAGGCGGCUGGGGAAGUCGGCGGUGAAAGCCCGGAGCUCAACUCCGGGUCGGCCGUCGAGACUCCUCGGCUCGAGCUCACUAGAGGCAGAUGGAAUUCCGGGUGUAGCGGUGGAAUGCGUAGAGAUCCGGAAGAACACCGGUGGCGAAGGCGGUCUGCUGGGGUGAGGCUGACGCUGAUGCGCGACAGCGUGGGGAGCAAACAGG